UUACUCAGUAGCACAGCUGAAACCCCGAGUUUCUCACCUAGAGAUGACGGGCUUUCUUAGUAGUAUGUCCUUCCUACGUGCUUAUUGCAGCUGAAACAGAUUUUCAAGGCCACUCUGAUAUCUCAGUCUAUCAACGAAUGAUCUACAGAUAUCUGUGGAUUAGAUCUAGAACCGCAAGUGCGUGGGAGGUAGUGCCGUACGGCCACGCCCCAGGAGUCAUGGCAACACUGGAGGAAAGACGUGCGGAUUCAGCUGGAGUCGCACCUGGAAAGGGGAUCAGAAGCUCAGGAAAGGAAGCUCAUCUAAGACACUGUGCUAUCUUCUGCUGUUAAGAAUGAGAAUGUCUGGGCCGGAAGCAGAGAUCGUCAGGCUUUAGGAGGAGGCUGCCAAACAGAAGAAAAGGCGAAGAACCACAGGAGCAAAGGCCGGACACGCCGUGCCAGGAAACAUCAGAUCUGCUGGAAGCCAGAUGUUGCAGAUGAAAACAGGAUGCCAGGCAGAUAGAA